rnacentral:rRNA from 1 species
UACAGAGGUCUCAAGCGUUGUUCGGAUUCAUUGGGCGUAAAGGGUGCGUAGGCGGGUCUUUAAGUCAGGGGGGAAAUCCUGGAGCUCAACUCCAGAACUGCCUUUGAUACUGAAGAUCUUGAGUUCGGGAGAGGUGUGUGGAACUGCGAGUGUAGAGGUGAAAUUCGUAGAUAUUCGCAAGAACACCAGUGGCGAAGGCGGCUCACUGGCCCGAUACUGACGCUGAGGCACGAAAGCGUGGGGAGCAAACAGG